UGGUGACAAUAGUAGCCUGUCAUUUGUGUAAUGAAAUAUUAUCACCUGUGAAUGAUGCCCAGCUUGUGUCCAGUAUGGUAAAUCAUAGACGCACACCUCAUGUAGCCUAGUCCAUAUGCCUGUAUGUUUUGAUAAGGUUUGUAUCACAACUAAAGCCGGCCAAAUAACUUCUUAAAAUGAAGCACAUUAAUCCCCAUCUCAGAAUCGAAUGGUUUUGACCAUUUUUAACAGAGAGGAAGAGUAGCGAAGUCUUCCCCAGCAGGUGGGGUUGUUUCUUUUGCUCACCAAGCCAAUAGUUUUUAUAUACGAGGUCAAUGAGUGUCCAAUCUGGUCCCCCCAAAAAAAAAUGAAAAAAGAGGAGUGGCUUAUUUUCUACGUGAGGUUUAUAAAUCGAAGAUUCUGAAUGCUUAUGUUAUUAUGAGUAGGACACAUGACACCCCGGUCAACUUGAACAAAAACUGGAUUUUGGAUUUGUCUCGAGAUGGCCAUAGAUAUUCAUGGGUAGAGGUAUUCAUGGGUAGAGGUAUUCAUGGGUAGAGGUAUUCAUGGGUAGAGGUAUUCAUGGGUAGAGGUAUUCAUGGGUAGAGGUAUUCAUGGGUAGAGGUAUUCAUGGGUAGAGGUAUUCAUGGGUAGAGGUAUUCAUGGGUAGAGGUAUUCAUGGGUAUAGAUAUUCAUGGUUAGAGGUAUUCAUGGGUAGAGGUAUUCAUGGGUAGAGGUAAAGCAUCUCGCUCCAUUGAAUACAGGUGGUUGAUGAUGUCGACAAUCCUCAACGAAUAUUUUUUUA